AGGACGGUAGCCAAGCGGCUUAAGGCACUGGACUUUGACUCCAGCAUUUCGAAGGUUCGAAUCCUUCUCGUCCUGCCA
rnacentral:tRNA from 1 species